rnacentral:rRNA from 1 species
UACAGAGGAUGCAAGCGUUAUCCGGAAUGAUUGGGCGUAAAGCGUCUGUAGGUGGCUUUUUAAGUCCGCCGUCAAAUCCCAGGGCUCAACUCUGGACAGGCGGUGGAAACUACCAAGCUGGAGUACGGUAGGGGUAGAGGGAAUUUCCGGUGGAGCGGUGAAAUGCGUAGAGAUCGGGAGGAACACCAGUGGCGAAGGCGGCUACCUGGACCAGCACUGACACUGAGGCACGAAAGCGUGGGGAGCAAACAGG